CUUACUGGCGAAGUUCUUGUUCUUGGCGUGUUCGAAUCAGUCUUGCUUUAAAAGGGAUUGAUUACGAGGUUGUCCCUGUUCAUCUCGUGAAGGCCGAACAAAAAUCUGAAGAAUACACC
rnacentral:ribozyme from 1 species